rfam:Mycobacterium sp. SP-6446 contig_220, whole genome shotgun sequence.
CGGGGUGUAGCGCAGCUUGGUAGCGCAUCCGCUUUGGGAGCGGAAGGCCGCAGGUUCAAAUCCUGUCACCCCGA